AGCUUUGCACAGUGGCAGUAUCGAAGCCAAUGAGGUUUAUCUGAGGCGUGACUGUUGCUAAUUGAAAACUUUUCCCAAUACCCCACCAUGAUGACUUGAAAAAAUAAAAUAAGAUAAAUAUGAAACAAUUAUCU
rfam:Myotis brandtii contig151025, whole genome shotgun sequence.